GCUGCAUGAAGCUGGAAUCGCUAGUAAUCGCGGAUCAGAAUGCCGCGGUGAAUACGUUCCCGGGUCUUGUACACACCGCCCGUCACACCAUGGGAGUCGGAAAUGCCCGAAGUCUGUGACCUAACCGAGAGGGAGGAGCAGCCGAAGGCAGGUCUGAUGACUGGGGUGAAGUCGUAACAAGGUAUC
rnacentral:rRNA from 1 species